UACGGGGGGGGCAAGCGUUGUUCGGAAUUACUGGGCGUAAAGGGCGCGUAGGCGGCCUUCUAAGUCAGACGUGAAAUCCCUCGGCUCAACCGAGGAACUGCGUCUGAUACUGGAUGGCUUGAAUUCGGGAGAGGGAUGCGGAAUUCCAGGUGUAGCGGUGAAAUGCGUAGAUAUCUGGAGGAACACCGGUGGCGAAGGCGGCAUCCUGGACCGAGAUUGACGCUGAUGCGCGAAAGCCAGGGGAGCAAACGGG
rnacentral:rRNA from 1 species